UACGAAGGGGGCUAGCGUUGCUCGGAAUGACUGGGCGUAAAGGGCGCGUAGGCGGUUUGGACAGUCAGAUGUGAAAUUCCUGGGCUCAACCUGGGGGCUGCAUUUGAUACGUUCGGACUAGAGUGGGGAAGAGGGUCGUGGAAUUCCCAGUGUAGAGGUGAAAUUCGUAGAUAUUGGGAAGAACACCGGUGGCGAAGGCGGCGACCUGGUCCGUGACUGACGCUGAGGCGCGAAAGCGUGGGGAGCAAACAGG
rnacentral:rRNA from 1 species